GCCAGACUCCUACGGGAGGCAGCAGUGGGGGAUAUUGCACAAUGGGGGAAACCCUGAUGCAGCGACGCCGCGUGUGGGAAGACGGUCCUCUGGAUUGUAAACCACUGUCCCCAGGGACGAAGAUGACGGUACCCAAAGAGGAAGCUCCGGCUAACUACGUGCCAGCAGCCGCGGUAAUACGUAGGGAGCGAGCGUUGUCCGGAAUUACUGGGUGUAAAGGGAGCGUAGGCGGGCGAGAAAGUUGAAUGUUAAAUCUACCGGCUUAACUGGUAGCUGCGUUCAAAACUUCUUGUCUUGAGUGAAGUAGAGGCAGGCGGAAUUCCUAGUGUAGCGGUGAAAUGCGUAGAUAUUAGGAGGAACACCAGUGGCGAAGGCGGCCUGCUGGGCUUUAACUGACGCUGAGGCUCGAAAGCGUGGGGAGCAGACAGGAUUAGAUACCCCUGUA
rnacentral:rRNA from 1 species